rnacentral:rRNA from 1 species
AAGGAGCGUCGGUGGCGCGGCGUAACAAGGACUUGAUCUGUGACUCGAUUGAACGCUGGCGGGAUGCUUUACGUACCGUCCGAACGGCAGCACGGACUUCGGUCUGGUGGCGAGUGGCGAACGGGUGAGUAAUGUAUCGGAACGUGCCCUAGUAGCGGGGGAUAACUACGCGAAAGCGUAGCUAAUACGCCGCCCUUCGGGGAAAGCGGGGGACCUUCGGGCCUCGCCUAUUAGAGCGGCCGAUAUCGGAUUAGCUAGUUGGUGGGAGUAACGGCUCACCAAGGCGACGAUCCGUAGCUGGUUGAAGGGCGGUAGCCACACUGGGACUGAGACACGGCCCAGACUCCUGCGGGAGGCAGCAGUGGGGAAUUUUGGACAAUGGAAACUGCAGUCCAGCCAUCCCGCGUGUUGCGAUGAAGGCCUUCGGGUUGUAAAGCACUUUUGGCAGGAGAAAGAAACGGCACGGGAUAAUACCCCGUGCAACUGACAUUACGCAGAAUAAGCACCGGCUAACCACGUGCCAGCAGCGCGGUAAUACGUAAGUGCAAGCGUUAAUCGGAAUUACUGGGCGUAAAAGCGUGCGCAGGCGGUUCGGAAAGAAAGAUGUGAAAUCCCAGAGCUUUAACUUUGCAGAACUGCAUUUUUAACUACCGAGCUGAGUGUGUCAGAGGGAGGUGGAAUUCCGCGUGUAGCAGUGAAAUGCGUAGAUAUGCGGAGGAACACCGAUGGCGAAAACGACCUCCUGGGAUAACACUGACGCUCAUGCACGAAGAAAGCGUGGGGGCAAACAGGAUUUAGAUACCCUGGUAGUCCGCCUAAACGAUGUCAACUAGCUGUUGGGGCCUUCGAGCCUUGGUAGCGCAGCUAACGCGUGAAGUUGACCGCCUGGGAAGUACGGUCGCAAGAUUAAACUCAAAGGAAUUGACGGGGACCCACUGAAGCGGUGGAUGAUGUGGAUUAAUUCGAUGCAGCUUGCGAAAAACACCUACCCUUGGCUUAUGUGGAAUCCCGAAGAGAUUUGGGAGUGCUCGCAAGAGAACCGGAACACAGGUGCUGCAUGGCUGUCGUCGGCUCGUGUCGUGAGAUGUUGGGUUAAGUCCCGCAACGAAGCGCAACCCUUGUCAUUAGUUGCUACGAAAGGGCACUCUGGCGGGGCUGCGGUGACAAACCCGGAAGGUGGGGAUGGCGUCAAGUCCUCAUGGCCGCUAUGGGUAGGGCUUCACGUCAUACAAUGGUCGCAAGGACUGAGAGGGUGCCAACCCGCAAGGGGAGCCAAUCCCAGAGAGCCAGUCGUAGUCGGAUCGCAAGUCUGCAACUCGACUGCGUGAAGUCGGAAUCGCUAGUAAUCGCGGAUCAGCAUGUCGCGGUGAAUACGUUCCCGGGUCUUGUACACACCGCCCGUCACACCAUGGGAGUGGGUUUACAGAAGUAGUUAGCCUAACCGUAAGGAGGGCGAUUACCACGGUAGGAUUCAUGACUGGGGUGAAGUCGUAACAAGGUAG